GAUGAACGCUAGCGGCAGGCCUAACACAUGCAAGUCGAGGGGUAGCAGGAUUAAGCUUGCUUAAUUGCUGACGACCGGCGCACGGGUGCGUAACGCGUAUGCAACCUACCUUAUACUGGGGUAUAGCCCGGAGAAAUUCGGAUUAAUCCCCCAUAGUACUAAUGAAUCGCAUGGUUUAUUAGUUAAAGCAUUGCGGUAUAAGAUGGGCAUGCGUCCUAUUAGCUAGAUGGUGAGGUAACGGCUCACCAUGGCUACGAUAGGUAGGGGGCCUGGGAGGGUGGGCCCCCACACUGGUACUGAGAAACGGACCAGACUCCUACGGGAGGCAGCAGUGAGGAAUAUUGGUCAAUGGGCGCAAGCCUGAACCAGCCAUGCCGCGUGCAGGAAGAAUGCCCUAUGGGUUGUAAACUGCUUUUAUUUGGGAAUAAACCUCUUUACGUGUAGAGAGCUGAAGGUACCAAAUGAAUAAGCACCGGCUAACUCCGUGCCAGCCGCCGCGGUAA
rnacentral:rRNA from 1 species